UACGUAGGGUGCAAGCGUUUAAUCGGAAUUACUGGGCGUAAAGCGUGCGCAGGCGGUUUUGUAAGACUGUCGUGAAAUCCCCGGGCUUAACCUGGGAAUGGCGAUGGUGACUGCAAGGCUAGAGUUUGGCAGAGGGGGGUAGAAUUCCACGUGUAGCAGUGAAAUGCGUAGAGAUGUGGAGGAACACCGAUGGCGAAGGCAGCCCCCUGGGUCAAGACUGACGCUCAUGCACGAAAGCGUGGGGAGCAAACAGG
rnacentral:rRNA from 1 species